CCUACGGGUGGCAGCAGUGAGGAAUAUUGGUCAAUGGGCGCGAGCCUGAACCAGCCAAGUAGCGUGAAGGAUGACUGCCCUACGGGUUGUAAACUUCUUUUGUCAAGGAAUAAAGUGAGGCACGUGUGCCUUUUUGUAUGUACUUUAUGAAUAAGGAUCGGCUAACUCCGUGCCAGCAGCCGCGGUAAUACGGAGGAUCCGAGCGUUAUCCGGAUUUAUUGGGUUUAAAGGGAGCGUAGAUGGGUUGUUAAGUCAGUUGUGAAAGGUUGCGGCUCAACCGUAAAAUUGCAAUUGAUACUGGCAGCCUAGAGUACAGGUGAGGUAGGCGGAAUUCGUGGGGUAGCGGUGAAAUGCGUAGAUAUUACGAAGAACUCCGAUUGCGAAGGCAGCUUACUAAACUGCCACUGACAUUGAUGCUCGAAAGUGUGGGUAGCAAACAGGAUUAGAUACCCUGGUAGUC
rnacentral:rRNA from 1 species